GCUCAGGACGAACGCUGGCUGCGUGCUUAACACAUGCAAGUCGAACGCUGAAGCCCCAGCUUGCUGGGGUGGAUGAGUGGCGAACGGGUGAGUAACACGUGAGUAACCUGCCCCUGACUUCGGGAUAAGCCCGGGAAACUGGGUCUAAUACCGGAUACGACUGCCGGACGCAUGUCUGGUGGUGGAAAGUUUUUUCGGUUGGGGAUGGGCUCGCGGCCUAUCAGUUUGUUGGUGAGGUAAUGGCUCACCAAGACGACGACGGGUAGCCGGCCUGAGAGGGCGACCGGCCACACUGGGACUGAGACACGGCCCAGACUCCUACGGGAGGCAGCAGUGGGGAAUAUUGCACAAUGGGGGAAACCCUGAUGCAGCGACGCAGCGUGCGGGAUGACGGCCUUCGGGUUGUAAACCGCUUUCAGCAGGGAAGAAGCCUUCGGGUGACGGUACCUGCAGAAGAAGUACCGGCUAACUACGUGCCAGCAGCCGCGGUAAUACGUAGGGUACGAGCGUUGUCCGGAAUUAUUGGGCGUAAAGAGCUCGUAGGUGGUUGGUCACGUCUGCUGUGGAAACGCAACGCUUAACGUUGCGCGUGCAGUGGGUACGGGCUGACUAGAGUGCAGUAGGGGAGUCUGGAAUUCCUGGUGUAGCGGUGAAAUGCGCAGAUAUCAGGAGGAACACCGGUGGCGAAGGCGGGACUCUGGGCUGUAACUGACACUGAGGAGCGAAAGCAUGGGGAGCGAACAGGAUUAGAUACCCUGGUAGUCCAUGCCGUAAACGUUGGGCACUAGGUGUGGGGGGCAUUCCACGUUCUCCGCGCCGUAGCUAACGCAUUAAGUGCCCCGCCUGGGGAGUACGGUCGCAAGGCUAAAACUCAAAGGAAUUGACGGGGGCCCGCACAAGCGGCGGAGCAUGCGGAUUAAUUCGAUGCAACGCGAAGAACCUUACCAAGGCUUGACAUACACCAGACCGGUCUGGAAACAGGUCUUCCCCUUUGGGGUUGGUGUACAGGUGGUGCAUGGUUGUCGUCAGCUCGUGUCGUGAGAUGUUGGGUUAAGUCCCGCAACGAGCGCAACCCUCGUUCUAUGUUGCCAGCACGUGAUGGUGGGAACUCAUAGGAGACUGCCGGGGUCAACUCGGAGGAAGGUGGGGAUGACGUCAAAUCAUCAUGCCCUUUAUGUCUUGGGCUUCACGCAUGCUACAAUGGCUGGUACAGAGAGAGGCGAACCCGUGAGGGCAAGCGAAUCCCUUAAAGCCAGUCUCAGUUCGGAUCGUAGUCUGCAAUUCGACUACGUGAAGUCGGAGUCGCUAGUAAUCGCAGAUCAGCAACGCUGCGGUGAAUACGUUCCCGGGCCUUGUACACACCGCCCGUCAAGUCACGAAAGUCGGUAACACCCGAAGCCGGUGGCCUAACCCCUUGUGGGAGGGGGCCGUCUAAGGUGGGACUGGUGAUUGGGACUAAUC
rnacentral:rRNA from 1 species